CUGGCUCAGAUUGAACGCUGGCGGCAGGCCUAACACAUGCAAGUCGAGCGGUAACAUUUCUAGCUUGCUAGAAGAUGACGAGCGGCGGACGGGUGAGUAAUGCUUGGGAACGUGCCGUAAGGUGGGGGACAACCAUUGGAAACGAUGGCUAAUACCGCAUAAUGUCUACGGACCAAAGGGGGCUUCGGCUCUCGCCUUAUGAUCGGCCCAAGUGGGAUUAGCUAGUUGGUAAGGUAAUGGCUUACCAAGGCGACGAUCCCUAGCUGGUUUGAGAGGAUGAUCAGCCACACUGGAACUGAGACACGGUCCAGACUCCUACGGGAGGCAGCAGUGGGGAAUAUUGCACAAUGGGCGCAAGCCUGAUGCAGCCAUGCCGCGUGUGUGAAGAAGGCCUUAGGGUUGUAAAGCACUUUCAGUAAGGAGGAAAGGUUAGUAGUUAAUACCUGCUAGCUGUGACGUUACUUACAGAAGAAGCACCGGCUAACUCCGUGCCAGCAGCCGCGGUAAUACGGAGGGUGCGAGCGUUAAUCGGAAUUACUGGGCGUAAAGCGUACGCAGGCGGUUUGUUAAGCGAGAUGUGAAAG
rnacentral:rRNA from 2 species